GUGUCAGCCGCCGCGGUAAAACGUAGGACGCAAACGUUAUCCGGAAUUACUGGGCGUAAAGGGCGCGCAGGCGGUUGAGUAAGAGAGGCAUGAAAGCCUCAGGCUAAACCUGGGGAGGCUGUCUGAGACUGCUCGACUGGAGUGCGAUAGAGGGGUGUAGAAUUCCGCGUGUAGUGGUGAAAUGCGUAGAGAUGCGGAGGAAUACCAGUGGCGAAGGCGGCACCCUGGAUCGCAACUGACGCUGAGGCGCGAAAGCAUGGGUAGCGAACGGGAUUAGAAACCCCGGUAGUCCAUGCUGUAAACGAUGUGCACUCGAUGUGCGUGUCACACUGUGGCAUGAGUGUCUAAGCAAACGCGGUAAGUGCACCGCCUGGGGAGUACGGUCGCAAGGCUAAAACUCAAAUGAAUUGACGGGG
rnacentral:rRNA from 1 species